rnacentral:sRNA from 1 species
GAUACCAGGGUCAAGCAGCCGCAGACCCGUGCAGGCUGGCCUGCAAAAGGGUAUGCGGGUAUUUGACCCGCCCGGGACAUGAGCAGGCAGCCAUGUUUCAUAAGAAACAUGCGCGGACUGCGAAUGGACCGUCGGAUUGCGGGAGCACUCUGUGCGCAGCAAUCCGGGU